rnacentral:misc_RNA from 1 species
GCUCUGGCAGCGACGUCCAUCCACACAGGCAUCUUCAGUGUUGUCUUGAGAUAUAUGUACUAUCUUGAGUUUUGUAUUGGUUUCUUGUGUUGGGUACCUAACCGGAUGGCAAUCGGUAGUCUAAAUGUUUAGUUUCNGCCUUUUGUUGUCCCUUUUUGGGAUGAUGCAGGGUGAACCAUGAAGUAAUCUCUGUGUCCCACGCCUUUCACAUUGAGUUGUGUUUUGUGGAUUGGUCCAUGGGGAAUUUACUUGAGCUGUUGGAUGCGGUGCAUUAUACAUGGGCAUGAGGUCUCACGUCCUCUCUCUGCCCAAACAAAAGCUUUCAUCGCUUAGUUGCGAACGAUUGCGAUCCUCGUUUCGAGCCUUAAGGCAAGUGCGGUGAUGGCUUCGUUGAGGAAUGC